UACGUAGGUGGCAAGCGUUAUCCGGAAUUUAUUGGGCGUAAAGCGCGCGCAGGCGGUUUCUUAAGUCUGAUGUGAAAGCCCACGGCUCAACCGUGGAGGGUCAUUGGAAACUGGGGAACUUGAGUGCAGAAGAGAAAAGCGGAAUUCCACGUGUAGCGGUGAAAUGCGUAGAGAUGUGGAGGAACACCAGUGGCGAAGGCGGCUUUUUGGUCUGUAACUGACGCUGAGGCGCGAAAGCGUGGGGAGCAAACAGGG
rnacentral:rRNA from 1 species